CAAGCAGGGAGGCUGAUGUGGGACUCAUCCCGGCACUCCGGGAUCAUGCCCUGAGCCAAAGGGAGAUGCUCAACCGCUAAGCCACCCAGGCGUACCCCUUUUGAAGAUUUUAACUAUAUUAUUUUUUCUGUACAAUCACAGAUGUUUGAACUAGUGAGUAUUUAGAGAUAUUUGGUCUAAUUCUUCAACUUAUAGACAAGGCUCCUGAGGCCAGGUGAACAGACUAGAAAAGGCUCCCUUUGUGGGGCAUGUUGGGCCGACACCCCCUGGCCUAACCCCAAAUCCAAUGUCUUUCCACCAGGGCAGUAAAAUCCAUGAAGACCCUUAAAUUGAUCAUUAUUGAUCUUUUUCUUCAAAUCAUCCCGGAAAUCUCUUGUUCUCAUUAAUCAGAGGCAUACUUUAGGGGCUGCAGAUUAAUAAUGAUCUGUAUACCUAGUAAUAGAUACUGGAUAAACUCUAACCCUUUCCUGGAGUGAGCCUGUUUUUUCUCAUUGUGAAAUCUGGUAGGACUGAUGGCGUACAAUAACUUCCUCCUCCCCAAUGUUUUAUGUAGGAGUUUUAGACCGGAUAAAUCAGAGGUUUUCCAUCACUACCUUUUGACCUAAGAGUGGAUCAUUUUCUGACAUGGCUUGUGUGUUACCCAACAGCACUGAGGUUACUUGGUCGUGGAAGUUGAUGCUACACCACCAGGCGCACCCUCCUUCCUUCCCUGUGGAGCAAACAAUGGAAUAGGAAAACACACUGCCAUUUUCUGACUGCCCUCAAUCGCCGAGGGUGGACCCCUUAACAUCAGCAGGCUGGCUCCAUUACACUGCCCUGGGCUGUGCUCGAGCUACUGAAAUAUUGAUUUUUACAGAGCCGGCGCACACACACUGAAAAAUCAAUAUUCCAGUGCACACAACAGAACAGGCGGCAGAGCCGAGACCUACUCGUAGGCCCAGUGAGCACUGCCGGCAGCCCUUGGCCGAGGAGGGGGUGGGGGGCUGGAGGAGACAAUGCCCGGGGAGAGGCCCCUGCAAACCCGGGAGGGGUCACAUAAACAACCAAGUGUGCAGAGGGAAGAGAAAGGACAGUGGAGAGAAAGAUCCUUGAGGAUAAAACAGUUGGAAGGAGCAAUGAUUUAUCCUUCCAUUGGGGGGAUAUGGGGAGAAGGACAGAGUAAGAAGAGAGGAUGGGAGGAAUUUUCCAGGUUGAUCCUGGAUUGAGAAGUUUCCAGCCUGGAAUGAUUACAAAUGAAAGAAACUUUUUUCCUUAUUUUUCCUGAUGCCAACACACCCACUUCUCUCUCUUAAAAUGAUAGCAUUACAUUUUGGACUAAUGUGAUAAAUUCCAGGGGUCUUCAGCCUGGGGGUGUGUGUGUGGGGGGCAGGUAGAUGAAGACUUUGUAGAGGAUGCUUGGGCAUUGAAAUGGGUGAAUUGAUUUUGUAUCCUCAAGACCCUCAUUGGUGAUUUUCUAAUACUGACCUGCCUCAGAAUUAUGUGGGCUCUGGUUGUUUCUCCUUUUCCUAGCCUUCUUUUCCCACUCUACAAGAGAAAGGCUGUUUCUUUCUCUUACCCUCACCCAUCUCAAAUCUUUCUAAAGUGUGUUGCCUAGGAUAUGAGAUCCAUUGAUAUACCAAACACAGGGGCAAUUUCACUUGACAACAUGUAUUUAUUAAAUAGCUACUAUGG
rnacentral:lncRNA from 12 species